AUUGAACGCUGGCGGAAGGCUUAACACAUGCAAGUCGAGCGAGCGGCGGACGGGUGAGUAAUGUCUGGGAAACCGCCUGAUGGAGGGGGGUAACUACUGGAAACGGUAGCUAAUACCGCAUACCAUCAGAUGUGCCCAUAUGGGAUUAGCUAGUAGGUGGGGUAAUGGCUCACCUAGGCGACGAUCCCUAGCUGGUCUGAGAGGAUGACCAGCCAAACUGGAUCGGAGCCAUGGUCCAGACUACAACGAGAGGCAGCAGUGGGGAAUAUUGGACAAUGGGCGGAAGCCUGAUGCAGCCAUGCCGCGUAUGUGACGAAGGCCUUCAGUUUGUAUAACAGUUUCAGCGAGGAGGCGUUACUCGCAGAAGAAGCACCGGAUAACUCCGUGCCAGCAGCCGCGGUACUUC
rnacentral:rRNA from 1 species